rnacentral:sRNA from 1 species
UGAAAGGAGGUGAUCCUGAAUUGAGUUCCAUCAGGAUGCGUGAGGUGGCUGCUCGCUAGAGCCGCCCCUGCCUGCGCAGGGUGAGGCCCCAGGCCUCCGGCAGGCGAAAUCCACAGCAGUCACCCGGCCCGCGGGCUCACCGGUACAUCCCCGGUGCCUCGGGCG